rnacentral:rRNA from 1 species
UACGUAGGGAGCAAGCGUUGUCCGGAAUCAUUGGGCGUAGAGCGCGCGUAGGUGGCCACAUAAGUCCGUUGUGAAAGUCAAAGGCUCAACCUUUGAAAGCCGAUGGAUACUGUGUGGCUAGAGUACGGAAGAGGCGAGUGGAAUUCCUGGUGUAGCGGUGGAAUGCGCAGAUAUCAGGAGGAACGCCAAUAGCGAAGGCAGCUCGCUGGGACGUUACUGACACUGAGGCGCGAAAGCGUGGGGAGCGAACAGG